UACGUAGGGGGCAAGCGUUGUCCGGAAUCAUUGGGCGUAAAGCGCGUGUAGGCGGCUCGAUAAGUCUGCUGUGAAAGUCCAGGGCUCAACCCUGGGAUGCCGGUGGAUACUGUCGAGCUCGAGUCCGGAAGAGGUGUGUGGAAUUCCUGGUGUAGCGGUGAAAUGCGCAGAUAUCGGGAGGAACACCCGUAGCGAAGGCGGCACUCUGGGCCGGAACUGACGCUGAGGAGCGAAAGCGUGGGGAGCAAACAGG
rnacentral:rRNA from 1 species